rfam:Pyrenophora tritici-repentis Pt-1C-BFP supercont1.3 genomic scaffold, whole genome shotgun sequence.
GUCUCGGUGGCGCAAUGGUAGCGCGUUGGACUUCUACUACGUAAAUCCAAAGGCUGCGGGUUCGAGCCCCGCCCGAGAUG